rnacentral:rRNA from 1 species
CCUACGGGAGGCUGCAGUAGGGAAUAUUGCUCAAUGGGGGAAACCCUGAAGCAGCAACGCCGCGUGGAGGAUGAAGGUUUUCGGAUUGUAAACUCCUUUUGUUAGAGAAGAUAAUGACGGUAUCUAACGAAUAAGCACCGGCUAACUCCGUGCCAGCAGCCGCGGUAAUACGGAGGGGGCAAGCGUUACUCGGAAUCACUGGGCGUAAAGAGCGCGUAGGCGGGAUAGCAAGUCAGAUGUGAAAUCCUAUGGCUUAACCAUAGAACUGCAUUUGAAACUGUUAUUCUAGAGUAUGGGAGAGGUAGGUGGAAUUCUUGGUGUAGUGGUAAAAUGCGUAGAGAUCAAGAGGAAUACUCAUUGCGAAGGCGACCUGCUAGAACAUAACUGACGCUGAUGCACGAAAGCGUGGGGAUCGAACAGGAUUAGAUACCCUGGUAGUC